rnacentral:rRNA from 1 species
UCUGGUGCCAGCAGCCGCGGUAAUUCCAGCUCCCAUAGCGUAUAUUAAAGUUGUUGCAGUUAAAAAGCUCGUAGUUGAAUUUCGGAAUCUGUCCGUCGGUCGGGCUUCACUGUCCGCACUGGUGUGAUGGGUUUCUACCUUCUGAAUAACCGGCAUGUCAUUAAUUUGGUGCGCCGGGGAAGCAGAACUAUUACCUUGAAAAAAUUAGAGUG